ACUCAUGGUUGCCAAAAAUGUUUGCUCAGCACUGUAUGUUAAAAUAAGGUCUGUUCAACAGCGCUUGGUCGAGAUGUGUUGCUGUAGUGUUUUUAAUGUUACACUGCCAACUAUACCACAUCAUUAUCUGAACUUCCAAAAUCAUUUCAGCAUGACCGUCAUCAUUAUCUGAACUUCCAAAAUCAUUUCAGCAUGACCGUCAUCAUGUAAACUGUCCAAGGUCACCAGAAACUAAAUUAUAGGAAUCUGUAGUGGUGUAACAAUUCAUUCAUUAUAUCGAUGUAACGAUUUAUAUCCCUACGAUCCAACUGGAUCGAUCUGGGCUCGGCAAGUUAGCCUUGCGGAUGUAAAUAUAUCGAUUUAAAUUGUUUUAAAAGGUAAUUAAUCAAUUGUAUCGAUACUAGGAAAUAACACAUUGGAUUUAAGCACGGCAGGCUUUAUAUAGAGGCGUGUAUAUGUUGUAUUUCCAAGAAAAAUGCUUGCAAUUCCUUUGACGUCGCUUGAUUUUUCAAUUUACACAGAGCAGUUAGCACAACGCUACUUUCUUCAUCAUCAUCAUCAUCAUCAUCAUCUCUUUUCUCGCUUUUGUCCUAAGCUACGCCCCACAUCUUGUCACUUCUUUGCGUGGUCCCCCUAGGGUUUGGACGAGACACCACAGUAUGUGUGUUGUGUAGUAUUUUAAACACUUUUAUUGUUGUUUAAGAUGUCGGUCUGUCUGGUGGAUAACAGAUGAGGAGGCGGCUAGUGAGAAAUUAUCAUUGACGAUGUGUGUGUGACUCGGGGCAACUCGCCAUGCACUUUGAAGCCUUUCAAACUGGUUAGCUAAGCUUAAUGUGCUAGCUGCUAGCAACAACAGCAGAGUAUGAGGAGGGGAAACUUGGGUGAACAAGAGGAGAACCAUUGACAAUGUCAAUUACUGGACACUGUUUUAGUCUAACGUUUGUGCUACAAAGAGCAGUGCUUUGAGAGGCUUCAGUAGUCUGGCUGGUGGCCAAAAAUAGCCCCCUCAACUGGCACACUGGCCCAAUUUAUGACCCGUCCCAUGCAGCGGAGGGCAGCCCUGCCUCAGGUCUCCUGUAUCGUUUCCCCGCUGGGGACACAAAACUGGAAAAUGCUGAAAUCUGACCUUCAAGACCACAAAGGAUAACAUUUACCAACCAAUCUCAACUACUGUGACAACCCGUCAUCAAAGAGACUAAAGGAUCACUUACCAUCUGAGAGGGGCUCUUUGGGGAGCCAUUGAUGUCGUCAAUCUUCUCAUUGGCUGAGCACAGACAGCAAGAAAGAGGAGGCAGAGACAGAGAAACACUCUGGUGAAGUGAGGAGAGCAGAGGUGCUCCAGCUGAUGACUUUGACCCCUCCUCGCCUCCCUGCCUGCUGGGACUUGAAAGUCUAUCGGGUCCCAGCAAAUGUGAAUGGGACUGCCGAGGACCCGGCAGAGAUGGGAGUGCUGCACUGCUGCCUUCUCAGCGGGGGCAUGUGAUGUCAGGGAUUCCUCCUGUCCAUUAAAGGCCCAGCCCACAGCAGCUGAGACAGGGCCAUCAGCUCAGCGUUGACAACUGUGCCAACAGCGCAGCAUACACAAAGAAGGGGGUCCAGCUCCGACAUUAUGUACAUACGACCUAUCCUGCGGAAAUAUACUCCUCUAACAGUCUUACAUGUGAAUAGAGCAACUGUCUCUCAGUCUGUUCUGUAACACUGGAUGCAAAUAGUGAAUCCCACAAUCAGACUUAUAAUGACACAAACACAUUGCUUACCUCAACAUGAGUUUCUGGUUGCAAUAUAAACAUAAUAACAUUGUUUAGCCUUUGUUUUUACAGGGUUACAUUGCCAGCAUAAUACCACGCUAAUGUGUGUUCAUACAGUGACAGUGAUACAGUAUAUCAACAGCAUUUUAACCUGAUACAGUAACGGCAUUCCCAUUCACAGACAUUGCAUGUGAAUCUGGGAGAUGCAAUAGCUAUGGUGAGAUGUGAAAGACAGGAAUGAACUGUGAUGCCGUUUAACACAUCACAGCAUAGCAUGUACAUGUAUUGUAGCUAUCGACAGACACCAGGCAAAAUUGCAGCUGGACAAAAAUAUCAAUCCAGGUAUCACACUUGAUUUUAUCAUUAUCUCUUGCAAUACAGUAUUGACACACAAGCUUCAACUAUCGUUGGUGUCCAAUGAAAAUCAAGUAAGACCAUCUCUGCAAUGUUGACAUUAUAAUAUGAUAUGAAUUUACAUAUUCUCAUUGAUAGAAGACCUCAUGAUAACCAACUUCAAUUGUCUUUAGUAGGGUUUGUUCUUUUUCUUUUCGUUCUUUCUUCUUUUUUUUUGAAGUUAAAACAAUUACAGUCAUUGAUUGGUUCUAAUACUGUACAUGCUGUUAAUAUUCAAUACCGAUUUUCUUUAGGAAGAAACACAUAGGUAUGAAUGCUUGACUACAGUAUCUCAUCAUUCCCAUAAUAAACUGCUACACCCUUAUAGGUGCCACAUUUAUAGACAAUGACACCAUACAUUUAUUUCCUUAAUACCUGCUUUGUCAGCAUAAUACGGUUUGCUUUCAUUUUGUUCGCAGUAAAUGCAGAACGUGAGCGUUGCAAUAUUUCCCGACUGUAACCCCAAGGGCCCAAUGGUGAUGCUACCUGGUCACAAGAGACAGUGACUAAUUGUGUGAUACACACUGAGCCCCUACACUAACUAUACUGUAUGUUAGCAAAGUGCAAGCCAAAAACUAGUCACACGCCUAAAAAAGCACGUCAUACGCAACACAAGGAUGGAUUUUUGGAGUACACGACUGAAAGAUAAUGAUUUGCUUUCCAUUGGCAAAACAGAGUCAGUCCCACUAACGAUAGCUCAUAGGGACUGAUGAAUAUGUAGUGGAGGUUUGAAAAAAGAUGGGUCAAGUAGCUCAAUUGGAGCCAAAUCCACCUUCGGUAUGUACCAGCAUUACUGUUCCAAAACCAGAAGACAGCUCUAUUUUCCCCAGCAUUGUGUGCUGUAAGGUUAACAGACUGGACAAGAAGAAAGGCAGGUGGGAGCAGGUGAACAGUUGUUUUUAGUUCCUGUUGUGUAGAGACGAGAGCAGUCAUCAAUAUUGGAUUACUUACUGUACAUAGCAUUUGAAAUGUGGCUUCACAAUGCUGUGGUAAAUGUCUCUUGAAUUUAAUCGUCUUAAUUAAGUUUCAACCAAUUUGGCAAAUCAUAGUAUAUGAUUAGGUUUUAUGGUGACAGCAAGAGGUCUUGUGCUUGAUGACCGUCAGAUAACCUCAGACUUGCAAUUCUGAUUGCUCAUCAAAGUUUAAGGUUCUAGAAUCUGUAUGACAGAAUUAGAUUUGAGAGCUGAAAUCAAAAGGAUUUUGUUCAUGGGACAACAAAUGAAUGCAAGUAAACUAGUAAGCAAAAUCAAUGUCAGAAGGCAGUACAAGGGCUAAAGCAUUCAAGCCUCCUAAACAGACGGAAAAAACAUUGUCUGAAACACCGUUUCUUUGAAAUUGUCUUGACAAUGUUAGUGGAGAGGUAGACACACAGUAUUUCAUUGUGAUGAAACAAAUGUUUCCCUUUGGUUGCAUCCAUAAGUAUUAGGAAG